rnacentral:piRNA from 1 species
UGCCAAAACUUCAGCUUUGGU